UUUUAUGGAGAGUUUGAUCCUGGCUCAGGAUGAACGCUGGCGGCGUGCCUAAUACAUGCAAGUCGAGCGAACGGACGAGAAGCUUGCUUCUCUGAUGUUAGCGGCGGACGGGUGAGUAACACGUGGAUAACCUACCUAUAAGACUGGGAUAACUUCGGGAAACCGGAGCUAAUACCGGAUAAUAUUUUGAACCGCAUGGUUCAAAAGUAAAAGACGGUCUUGCUGUCACUUAUAGAUGGAUCCGCGCUGCAUUAGCUAGUUGGUAAGGUAACGGCUUACCAAGGCAACGAUGCAUAGCCGACCUGAGAGGGUGAUCGGCCACACUGGAACUGAGACACGGUCCAGACUCCUACGGGAGGCAGCAGUAGGGAAUCUUCCGCAAUGGGCGAAAGCCUGACGGAGCAACGCCGCGUGAGUGAUGAAGGUCUUCGGAUCGUAAAACUCUGUUAUUAGGGAAGAACAUAUGUGUAAGUAACUGUGCACAUCUUGACGGUACCUAAUCAGAAAGCCACGGCUAACUACGUGCCAGCAGCCGCGGUAAUACGUAGGUGGCAAGCGUUAUCCGGAAUUAUUGGGCGUAAAGCGCGCGUAGGCGGUUUUUUAAGUCUGAUGUGAAAGCCCACGGCUCAACCGUGGAGGGUCAUUGGAAACUGGAAAACUUGAGUGCAGAAGAGGAAAGUGGAAUUCCAUGUGUAGCGGUGAAAUGCGCAGAGAUAUGGAGGAACACCAGUGGCGAAGGCGACUUUCUGGUCUGUAACUGACGCUGAUGUGCGAAAGCGUGGGGAUCAAACAGGAUUAGAUACCCUGGUAGUCCACGCCGUAAACAAUGAGUGCUAAGUGUUAGGGGGUUUCCGCCCCUUAGUGCUGCAGCUAACGCAUUAAGCACUCCGCCUGGGGAGUACGACCGCAAGGUUGAAACUCAAAGGAAUUGACGGGGACCCGCACAAGCGGUGGAGCAUGUGGUUUAAUUCGAAGCAACGCGAAGAACCUUACCAAAUCUUGACAUCCUUUGACAACUCUAGAGAUAGAGCCUUCCCCUUCGGGGGACAAAGUGACAGGUGGUGCAUGGUUGUCGUCAGCUCGUGUCGUGAGAUGUUGGGUUAAGUCCCGCAACGAGCGCAACCCUUAAGCUUAGUUGCCAUCAUUAAGUUGGGCACUCUAAGUUGACUGCCGGUGACAAACCGGAGGAAGGUGGGGAUGACGUCAAAUCAUCAUGCCCCUUAUGAUUUGGGCUACACACGUGCUACAAUGGACAAUACAAAGGGCAGCGAAACCGCGAGGUCAAGCAAAUCCCAUAAAGUUGUUCUCAGUUCGGAUUGUAGUCUGCAACUCGACUACAUGAAGCUGGAAUCGCUAGUAAUCGUAGAUCAGCAUGCUACGGUGAAUACGUUCCCGGGUCUUGUACACACCGCCCGUCACACCACGAGAGUUUGUAACACCCGAAGCCGGUGGAGUAACCUUUUAGGAGCUAGCCGUCGAAGGUGGGACAAAUGAUUGGGGUGAAGUCGUAACAAGGUAGCCGUAUCGGAAGGUGCGGCUGGAUCACCUCCUUUCUAA
rnacentral:rRNA from 1 species